rnacentral:rRNA from 1 species
UACGGAGGGUGCAAGCAUUAAUCGGAUUUAUUGGGCGUAAAGGGCGCGUAGGCGGAUCUGAAAGUCAGAUGUGAAAUUCCGAAGCUCAACUUCGGAGCCGCAUUUGAAACUUCAAGUCUCGAGGGAAGGCGGAGAAAAUGGAAUUCCACGUGUAGCGGUGAAAUGCGUAGAUAUGUGGAAGAACACCGGUGGCGAAAGCGGUUUUCUAGCUUUUACCUGACGCUGAGGCGCGAGAGCAAGGGGAGCAAACAGG